rnacentral:rRNA from 1 species
UACGGAGGGUGCAAGCGUUAUCCGGAUUCACUGGGUUUAAAGGGUGCGUAGGUGGGCAGGUAAGUCAGUGGUGAAAUCUCUGGGCUUAACUCAGAAACUGCCAUUGAUACUAUCUGUCUUGAAUACCGUGGAGGUCAGCGGAAUAUGUCAUGUAGCGGUGAAAUGCUUAGAUAUGACAUAGAACACCAAUUGCGAAGGCAGCUCACUACGCGAAUAUUGACACUGAGGCACGAAAGCGUGGGGAUCAAACAGG